rnacentral:rRNA from 1 species
AUGAAGGCAGCAUUAAAAACUAUCCUCCCAGAUACAUUACAUAAGUUGUGUCGGUGGCAUAUCAUGAAGAAGUACAAAGACCACCUCGCCUUGCUGUAUAAGGCGCACGAGAAACUCAAGGAUGACCUCAAUGCGGUGCUGAACCACCCACUAAUGCCGUCAGAAUUUGAACGGGCAUGGAAGGACCUCAUGCAGAAAUACAACUUGCAAAACGACGAAGUGAUGUAUUCGCUGUGGGAUGACAGGCACGAGUGGAUCUCGGCUUACUACAAGGAAAUGUUUUGUGCUCGGAUGACUUCCACGCAGAGAAGCGAGAGCAUGAACCGUAUAUUGAAGAAAAACUUCGUUAAGAAGCAUGAUCUCCAUAUGUUUGCUCAGCAGGUGGACAAGUGCAUUCAGACCAGGAAGGCCGUCGAGCACAUAGAGACAGUAGCAAAUGAGUCAGAGGUAAAGACAACAACCCAGUUUGGGUUCGAAGUUCAGCUAUCAAAAGUGUAUACAAGGGCAGUUUUUGCAGAUUUCAAAGAAACACUCUACCGCAACACUGCAUUCAGAGCAGAAUGGUGCCCUGAGAACCAGACAAAGUACCUCGUACACCACUACAAUAGAUCAGAUGCAUUUGACUGGGCAUGGCAUAAGUUCCAAGUGGUCGCCGAUGAAGAGAAAGGUGUCUACGAAUGCGAGUGCAAACUCUGGACACACACAGGGCUCUUUUGCAUCCAUGUGUUAUGCGUGCUUUCUCACCUGAGAGUACUCAAGAUUCCUAAGGUAAUCAUGAAAAGAUACACCCGGAACGCAAGAUCAAAUGCAACGUUUGACAGAAGAGACUACGAACAAACAGCACCAGAUGGAAGCUCGCUUUUUUGCCGUAGAAAAUUGCUGACAGAAACAGCAAUGGACCUUGCAAAUAGAGCGACAAGGUCCGACGCUGGGUGCCACAUAGCAUUCUCUGGUAUGAGGGCACUGAUCGAGGAAGUUGAUGUGCUCAACAAAGAAGAAGAAGAAGAAGAAGAAGAAGAAGAAGAAGCAAAACUAAAGCAAGCAGAGAAAUCGCAGCAUGACAAUAAUACCGAGCAAGUAGAAAAUACCGAACACUGCACAACUGGUGCAAUAAAAAAAGAAACAAUUCUUCCACCUCUUGUUUCAAACACAAGAGGAAGGAAGAAAGGGGGUGACGGAACCCAGAAAAAGGUUGCAUGCAAGGAGAAAAAUGAUGACAAAAACACCACGGCCUGA